UCCAGUACAAGGAAACCGGUCGUAGCAUCAACAGAUAACUGUUUCAAGGGCGUGUUCGUCUGUGGUAUAACCAUCUGAGGCGAGCUAGCAUGAGGUUAUAGCAUUUACAAAUUUAAACCGAAGAGAUUUUUCAAGGCCUUCACGCAUCUGAUGGAUCCUGGCAUGCUGUUCGGAAUUUCCUGUCCUUCGUACGUUGACAACAAAUAACUGCAUUUUGAAUUUAUAGGAGAUAAUUGUUGAUGACGUAAUUUUCCAAAAUGGUUAAUAUAAGAGAACUCUGCAGGUCACCAACAUUCCUGGCAAAAAUACUGGAACUGGUACUGAACUGUCUAUCCAUAGUCCUGUUUAUGUGGGAUACGAGUUAUCUGAUCACAGCAAAGUCAAAAUGGGCCGUGGUGUUUGGAACGCUCAUAGGAUUCCUGAUGAUCUCCAUCAUCAUAAUGGUUGCGAUUGUAAUAGAUAGUCCCUUGCACCGAAUACUGAUUCUGUUGGUAACGCUGCCUGCUGCCUUUCUGUUCUUUUCAACGGGUGGAAUAUUAAUAGAGACGUGGUACAACGCCAAACACUCGACGGGGUACCUGAUUGGAUCUGGGAUCUUAGCCUUUUUCAGUGGCAUUACAUACCUUGGGGACUUUGCCCUUACAUUCUUCAAAUAUGGUUAACGUACAGCCAUACGUUUCAUGAUUGUAUACGUCAGGUUUGCCUCAUCCGUAAUUCCCCGAUUUCAUUGGCAUUUAUCUGCAUGGAAGAAAUAUUUAGAAUCUCAGCUGUGAUUCCUCAAUAUGUCCUUUCCACAAAAUGCACAGUGGAAGUUGUGUCAGUCUGGCUGUGUGCAGGAUUAAUCUCUCAAGCUAGUGAAUGGAUUUUGAUUAAAUUUAAUAUUUGUAAUAAACAUUGAUAAAAAUAAUUAUUGUUCAGGUUUGAGAUUCCCAUGGCCGGGAACAUGAAGGUGGCCGCCUUCUGGGUAGUAGCGCCAUGUAGUCUAAUUGAAGUUUACUGAUGUUCCAGUAGUGCUUGCUCCUCCAUCAUCAGUAAACUUCAACUGGACUACACGGUGCUACGACCCAGAAGGCAGCCAUCUUGGCAAUCUAGUUUCUUGUCAGUGCGGUAUAACCACAUCUUUACAUGAAACACAAAUCAAUACGGAUUUUCUCCAGAUGGGUUACCACGCAAAGUGUUCAUGUUUUUGUAUCUACAAUGUAAGUUUCAGACACUUCUCACUGUGAUGAAUAUUUUUUGGUGUGACUCAAUCUGCAGCAACAAAUUUGUAUCUGAAAUAAAUUAAUAUCAAGGUAAAGAAAAGCAUGAAUUAGGUGAGAAUGCAUGUGAAAAAUAUUCACACUUCACUGCAGAACAUUUCUCUGCUUGUUACGAAGCGCAUCGUCACGUGAGAAAUUAGUUUUCAUGAACUGUAAAACAAGUCAGUAUAAAACAGUUAUAUAUUUUAUGCAGAAACUGUACAAAAAACAAAACUGAAUUAAAAUGAAGAUACCUUAUUGUAA